CCCUAAAUGCUACUCUUAGUUCAUAACAAAUACCCGCCUCUUCAAGAUCGACCUUGUCCUCAAGGUCGAAGCUGAACGGUGAACUUAGGAAAUUGGCCCUCAAUAUAGCCCCAAUCUUCCCACGUGGCUUCAUCGGCACUCAAGUUCGACCAGAGAACAAGAACACGUACCACCGCUGCAUUGUUUCUUCUCUCGAUACGACGCUACAAGAUAGCCAAGGUUGGAUCAGUACACAUCCAUCCUCACCACAUGCCGGUAACUAGGAUUGGGACGAAAAUGGCGGGACCAAUUCGUUUCUUCAGCUGAGAUACAUGGAAAACGGGGUGGAGCUGAGCAUCAGCUAGUAAAGCAAGACGGUUUCAGAGGAAUGAAAUGUCUUCUGGGAGGCAGUGAAGUUGGUUACUCAAAUACAUCAGGGAACUCCUGUAUGAUUUGUUGUAUGGCUACAGGAAUCCACCCCGUCGAAGUAGGGAAACUCUACUUGAGAAGAGAAGUUACUGCCUUGGGUGCGCAUCCCAACCUCCGUGGGCUCGUCGAACCUGGACCUACUGUUGGACCCAGUACCAUGGAUUGGAUCUCCUGGGGCACUCCCCAAUAUCCCAUUUUGAGUUGGAAGAAGUUUCU